CAAAUAAAUUAAAACUUUUAACAACGGAUCUCUUAGUUCUAGCAUCGAUAAAAAACGCAGCGAAAUGCAAUAAGUAAUAUAAAUUACAGAAUUUAGUAAACUAUCGAAUCUUUAAACGUAUAUUACGCCCGCUAGCACUCUAGCGGGCAUGCUUAUCCGAGCGUUAUCUUAACCCUC
rnacentral:rRNA from 1 species